rnacentral:rRNA from 1 species
AACGAACGUUGGCGGCGUGGAUUAGGCAUGCAAGUCGUACGGACCUGGGGGCAACUCCAGGUUAGUGGCGAACGGGUGAGUAACGCGUGGGAAACGUGCCCUCGAGACGGGGAUAACACUUCCAACGGAGUGCUAAUACCGGAUAAGACCACGGAGUCGCAUGGCUCUGCGGUCAAAGGUGGCCUCUACUUGUAAGCUACCGCUUGAGGAUCGUCCCGCGUCCCAUUAGCUAGUUGGUAGGGUAACGGCCUACCAAGGCGACGAUGGGUAGCUGGUCUGAGAGGAUGGUCAGCCACACUGGGACUGAGAUACGGCCCAGACUCCUACGGGUGGCAG